rnacentral:misc_RNA from 1 species
CCGAGUGAGGGCCCUCUGGGUCCAACCUCCCACCCGUGUUUAUCGUACCUUGUUGCUUCGGCGGGCCCGCCUCACGGCCGCCGGGGGGCACCCGCCCCCGGGCCCGCGCCCGCCGAAGACACCAUUGAACGCUGUCUGAAGAUUGCAGUCUGAGCAAUUAGUUAAAUAACUUA